AGAGAUAAUUAUGGGGAUUAAAACAUUGCAACAAAAACGUAAAAAAUAUCUGAAUAUACACAUACAGAAGAAGGUGUUGUUUGUUAAGGCGCAAAGCUUUUCACACUCGAGAUUUUGCAAUUAAAUAAUCUGCUGCAAGCCCGAAGGGAAAACACAAGGAAAAUAGACAGAGGUAACAAACCUCAUUGGACGUGGUUGAAAUGAGUGUGUGUGGUUAGUGCCAGUUAGUGAUUACAAUAAGAAGUGGCAGUGAUGUAGUAUUUAAGCUUUCGGGGAACAAAUUUUGUUCAUCAUCAUCAUCUAGUCGGCUCAAGUGUCGGCAUCGCCCCUAACGAGUCUCGGUUUGCGUACACAAAUUAAAAAAAAAGGCACAGUACACCCCAAACAUCUCUAAUUGAAAUGAUAAUUUGAACAAAAAAAUAAAGUCGUAGCCCAUCUAAGAGCACUUCACCAAAUCCCCUGCAGACUGGCGCUGGAUGAGGAGAUGCGAUUGCUGGGGACAUUAAUUACUGAGCGGCUCUACACUACACACCCUGUUGAGUGCAGUCCGGGACACCUUUACACCGACAUCUACAAACCCAUAAGUGGAGACUCACAGUACCUCCGCACACCACACACCAGCCAUAUCAAAAUGUCUUCGCUUCGCUUAAUUAUUACUUUUAAUUUAAUAUUUCCUUCCUGCCUACCGAAUGCAACGCGGUGCAUCAUCAACUCAUGCAUGCAUUGGAUGGCGCGCGAAAAUGCAUCUCCGUCGUCGACGGAAGCAAAAUGCAAUUCAAGUACGAUGAGGCAAAUUUCGCAACGCGACCCUCCUCGCUAGUUGGCGGUUGUGGUGGGAGAAGAGAUGGUUUAUAGAAUUAAAAGUGGUACAAAAAGAAACAACCCGGCCGAGUGCACUACCAUUCGCCUGUGCUCUGGAGGAAUAUGAGGUAGAGUAGUGCGGGAAGGCAGGCAGAAGGUUCACUUUUGCCCUCUCGGACCUGAACUCGGACUGGGAGAGGGUGAGUCAACGCGCUCGGGCUAUUCAAUGUGCAGGAGGGCGCAGAAGGACACACCACGGCGCAACGGCAGACACGGAAAUAUGAUUCGCGCGCUGUCGUCGACUUGGACUUGACUCUUUUGGACGCGUCGUCUAGGCAGGGACGACGCGCGUUCGAGAAGGGAGAACAACCCUUUCACCACCCCCACCCACUGGGUGGAAGGGGAGAUGGUGGGUAAGAAAUCAUUGCUUGUUUGCUGUUAAAAAUAAACCACCAUGACUGUGUGUGUGUGUAUGUUACCAUUUUCCUCGUUCGGAAUGUGGCUUCCUGUCUCCUGACUAUGAGCUGUCGAAGUUACGCAGAAGGAAGCCGUACAGAUGAACGUGCGCGCUCGAAGUUGAACAUCUUUGCCUGUGGAGUGGAGUGGCAUGAGGAGGGUUAGGAAUAGAAGUUCCUUACCACCCUCAGCAAACCAGUUUCCUCACCCGCAAAAGCGGAAGCGUGAGAAUCGAGGAAUAUAGGCUUAACACAUACACGCGAGGACCAUAAAAUAGGAAUAUCAUCUUCGUGUCAAAAAAAAACCCAUCCAACCCAACCCCAAAAACACACGAGACCAUCCGAGAGAGGGGAAAUCCAAAUGAUUCACGACGUUUUAAUUUUCUACGGCACCAAGUAAAGCACACACACACACAGAGCGGGGCGGGGGGACGACAUUCAAAUGAUCCAAGAAGUUGGACGGUGAACGAGCAUCAGAAACAGCGGCGUGAUCGCGCGCGCGCGUGUGUGCAACGGGGUGGGAUAGAAGAGGAGGUAACACACAUUUCCGCGUUUCCGUGCAAAUCGUGCCACGGGGCGGCAAAAAAGCAAAACCACGUAGAUUGUAUGGGUUUCUCGUGGGCGGGUGGGUGGUUUUAGGGGGAGUUUGAUGUUGCAAUCUAGCAGCCAGGCGGGGGGAAGCCGUGUGAGCUUCGUUUCCCUUUUUCCUACUACGUCUUUUUCGUUCGAUUUAGACACAGAGCACGCGAAACAGGAAGUGAACCACUUUGCAGAACGACACGGCAGGGGGCACCUACUAAGCUUAAUACUUAUAGGUCCCCUUGCUCGCCGUCUUAGCCGUCAUCAUCAUCGUCUGCCCUUCUCUGCCACCACAGCGUAACGGGACAAGGAAUAGGUGGGGGGAAAGUUCCGUGUGUGUGGGGGAAGUAAGAACGUACCCAUAAGGAACUGCGGCGCGCGUACUCCUUCUUUUUCUUCGGCUAGUGAGCGCACUUCAGGCCCAAGUGGGCCGAAGGGUUUCGUUCGAGAGUGAUUAGCAUAAAUAAAUUAGCAUGUCUCCGGGUGCGCGAGCGCGCUAGCUGGAAGGCAUGCCGCACAUACCAUACCAGGCCAUGCACAUUAGAGCAGUCCGGUGCGAGAAAGAGCGAGCGAAUGCGACUGUAUAAAUUGCAGCAAAUGCAUAUCCGGCAUUGUAAAGGCCUGUGCCCCGACACACAAACGCAGGCUAGAAACGACGACUGUGUGUGCGCGUUUGCGGUCGCGGAAGUGGUAUUAGACACAUUUUUCACUUCACUCACUUCGCAAUUCCAUUCCGUGCUAGCGACGAGAAGGAAACGAAUUGAAUUUAGAAGUGAGUAGAAUAUAUCGGCGGCAGUGUUUUUGGUGGGGAGGCAAGCGAAUAAGCGACUGAAGGCGUCCACGUUUAGCGAAACCGCAAGAAUUCGUAACAUCGUUUUUGGGGACACCAUGUUGCUCUUCUCCCGGUGCUGCUGCUGUUGGCACACAUCCAUCAAAUGUUUACGUUUCAUCAAUCCAACCGAGCCGGAUACGGAAAUUAACUGCAGCAGACUUUUUUUGUUGUUGUUGAUUCUACUUGUCUCGUUUGUACCGAAAAAAAAACGCCAGAUGUUUUUAACGGAGCGCGCGAGAGAUUUGGGGAUGUUUUUUUUUGCUGCUCUUCGUCCCUGUUCCGCGCAACGACGGAUGGUUCGCGCGCGUUCAAGGUGAAACAUGUAAUUAAUUUCAAAACACACAUAUAAACACACAUAGUCGGCACAGGUUUGCAGCAUUCUUCUGCGGGCAACGGUUCGCGGAUGGCUAAGACGAAUCUGCGCGCCACAAUUAACUUCCCCGUUCAAAUCACGCUUAAAUGGCAUAUAAACAAACAAACAAAAACGGAACAAUCAGUGCACGUAGUACAAGUGUAUACAUACACACACACAUAAACACAUUUAAAAGCAGAGUAAUUUGGGAAACAGGAAAAAUAUAUAAGCCGCCUUCGGAUUGCGCUUCAAUCUUGACACACAUUGAUUAAAAAAGCCCCUUUUUGACUGUUUUCAGACCUUAACAAUAAUAUUUACAACGAUUAAAACUCAACAAAGGGUGAUGAAGGUAGUGGAAAAAAAACCUCUCACUACACUUUUUUGUUUAGCAAGUACAUUCAUUCAAUUGAACUAUCAAAACAAACACACGAACGAACCUUUCAGUGUGUGUGGUACAACCCGUUCGUACAAACCCCGUUAGUGAAUCGCGCGAAAGAUUACGAAUGCGGAAAUUGCCGGCAAAGGCGGCAGCAGCAGCAGCAAACGGCAAACGGUUAACACACACCACACCCUGGCACGAACUCCCCAACAACACACACACACACAGUGUGCACACACCAUCACGCGCCGCUGCUUUUCCUGUUUUGAAAUGCGCGGGGAUUAGCUAAAAAGGCAUGCACAAAAAAGGCCCCCAUCUUAACCAAUCGAAGCCAAAGCCAGCCACCAGCAUUACACACGGUUCUGGUUCCUCGUUGCGUUACACACAAACCACGCGGUGGCUGCUGCUAGAAGGCUUAUACAUUUGAAGGUGUCCCACUUGUUGUUUAGUCACAAAAGUGAUGAUCUUUACACAGGAAAAAAGCAUCACGCGUGUCAUCAAGAACUGAAGCAACAAGAAUCGAUGAUCGUCUGGGCGUGAUUCCGUCUGGGCUUUAAUGAUCGUUAUAAUGGCGCUUGCGAAUAAUAAAUAAUAAAAAAACAGCACAAACGAUCAUCAUCCAUCACCGGCGUGAGUAAACACAAGUGGAAUCGCUCUUGAAAGCCAGCAGAGCCGCUUGAGAAGCUUCAGACUGUUGAGUGUUAACGCGAUAAGACGAGAAGCGCAAAUUAGUAAUCGUCGGGUCCCACGCCAACGGUCCCCAGACAACCCAGGAUAGAGAGAGAGAGAGAGAGAGUACUGCGGCGUGUGGUGACACACGGCCCUCGGGGUUCGGUUACUGCUGCUCGAUCCGGUUUCGAAUGACGCAUACGCAACCAUCACCAGCACCACCACCAAGUGUGCCACAACAGCGGGCCCGAUCGACAAUCGAUCGAGAUGAUUGGUAGCCUCUAUGUGUGUGUGUGUGUGUGUGUUUGUGUGACUGCGGAACGCACUUAGAACGCGCGAUACACACAAUCUCGCCACGCUCGUUCGUUCUUGUGUUUGCGAAACCAGUUUGCGAACGCUAGUAGCACAGCAGCACACAACGCCGGAGCAGGAAGUAAUCAAAAUGGCUCUCGACAACGACGACGGCGUGUCGUGCCGGUGUGCCUCUCUCACACUGACCUGCCGGCCAUUAUUCUCGCCGUUCGAUAACUGUAUUAUAAAUAUCAACUCGUUCCUGCUGCUGCUGCUGCUGCCGUGCUUCCCCGCCUCUAACCGGUCAACCGGUUCAGCAGGCAAGUGAUUGGGGAGGUAUUGGUAAUUGGAAGACACCACCACACCAACCACACCGUCCGUGUGUGUGAAAAGUAAGGUGCGUGCGUUUGGUAAAUCACAGCGAUCAAUAGAAACACGUUUUUAUCUAUUCCCUGCUUGCGCUGUUUGAACACACACACACACAUACACGCUGCCCCCUUCAAUCCAUCAUAGUGUCUUCAACUGUCGAAAAGAUCUAAACCGGCGGGGCAGCAGCAGCAGCAGCAGCAAGCGUAAACACAUCCGAUAGGAGUUCUUCCUCCAUUCUCCCCCUUUGGUUCCCUGUGUGUUGAUAGACGCCAGUAGGAAACGGAAUUCACACACAGUUUCCCCCCUUCUACCCUGGCACUACUGCUUCUGCUAACCGACGAGCCGCUCGGGCUUGACAUAACCGUGCGACACCGCACCGUUUCUUCCGCGGUGUAAUCACCCCCCCCCCUCCACUCUUAUCCUCGUGCGUACACAAUUGUCGGUCGCUCUGUCAGCGCCAUCCCUCCUCCUCCUGACAGCGCUGUCUUGUCUGUUCGCAGCGGUCGUCCUUGAGGCCGAAACGGAACUCGCGGUUCCCCGUUAUAACUUGUUGCACGCGUUCCACCCCCCCUCCCCCUUCGGGCGCUCAAGAUAAUUCUCCGAUCAGCACUGAAACAAAAAAAAAAAACCCACCCCACUCCGGUGCGUUUGUGUGUGGGACACAACGAUGCCGCCACCGUGCAAGGUGAAUUUCGAGAGGCUAUUGAACUGCACACACGCACAAGCGGUACGUACGCCAUUCGCCGUCGUCUUGCGUCUUCGUCUAGAAAUGCCGAACUCGGAAGUGUCGUAAAGUUCGUGCAAAGAACGACAGUUUCCUCCCCCCCGCUUACCAACACCACCCCUUCCCUCUUGUGACAUCUGACUGUCAAACACGAGAGCAACACAUCCAAAAGGGAAGCUGUUGUGCUGCAGAGGUUGAAGAUGUAUCGGUAACGCCGCCGACUCAGCGUGAGCGUACGAGAGAGCAGGCGAGCGAGCGUAUCUUGGCGUUCCGCGGGGGUAGUAGGGGGUUGGCACACACACAAAAAAUGCUCACCCGGCGCAAGAGCGAGAGAAACGUCAAACGCACGUGUAGUGUACACCGAACGACUGAAUGGCGAGAGCCACCACGCACACACACACAUACACACAAACUACCUGUUGCAUUGUGCAGCCGCCGCCGCCACACUCAGUGUGCGCGUUACACACAUCCGUUACGCGCGUUAUCGUCACUUGACGUUAUCUAAAAAAAACGGGCGCUGCUGCCGGCUACUGCCACUCUUCCCAUGGGGGGGUUACAGGGCCGGGGGGAACAUACCGAAUGCGUGACAAUUUCGAUUGCUGCCGCUUCACCCAUCCCCAGGAGGAAUGUACAAACAAGUACAGGAUGGGUAGUAGUCGCCCGUCGCCGUGUGUCAGUGCUUAUUAUGAUGGUCAUAUUUUUUAACCCCAGCAGACAAUCGAUGUAACGCGCGCGCGAGAGCGCGUGUAAGCGUUCCGACGCCCUAUUUACGUGACAAAUUGUUUGUCCAAUUGGCGGGUAGAGGAGGAGGGCAGGGCAGGAAGCAGGAUUUCUGUGCCGGCCCACUUCCCGGUGUUACGGAUUAAAGGCGAUUCCUAAUAGGGGCCGCCCCGCCGUGUGCGUCUGGGGUCGCCUAAAACGUGCAGGAAUUCAUGAGCCGUCCAACUGCCACGUGGAGCAAAACUGCUGCACGGGUCUCUCCAGUGGAUGUCUUCCCGGUUCCUAUACUCAGAGAGUUCAUACACUUUAGAGCCGAUUGUGUACAAAGGCGCACGUGUUUGGAGGGGGAUCGACGUCCAAUGAACUAUCGAAGGGAGGAAAAAAAAUAACUCCAGCAACUACCGAGCGCCUCGCAUAAUAGGAAGCUGCUUAAUUACACGCCAACAAGGUUCGCUCCUAAAAAGCCGACUCGUUACGAGAGAGAGAGAGAGAGAGAGGGGCUCGUUAAAAUUGCUUCAUCCCAGCCAGUUCUAAUCCAUCAGCAACGAAAAAAAAAAACCCAAGCAUCAUCGGGAACUUAGAACGCGCUUUUCUCUCUCCCUUGUAAUCAACGCGCAACUUUCCAUCGAAAGAAACUGGCCAAACAUUUUUGGCCUUUUCGGUUCCUAGACGGCGUUAGAGAAGCAGAGCUAACCACACUUCAAAGCAUUGCGGCAGCGCGCGCGGCCGGCUAAUCUGUUUGCUUGCCUUCUUUUCUCGUUACCUCCAUAUUUAAAGCUUCUUUUCGCCGUUUGUGGAGGGAAGAAGAUGAGAGGUUUAGAUAAGUUCGGCACUGGGGCCACGAUCGGCCAAAAGAAAGGGCGCGCGGCGCCGCACUAAAAAGAGUUUUCGAAAAAGGUCUAUUCCCGGUUGAACUCUUCACGAUCGAUGUCUUCCCAUGUAGAGAAGGGGUUAGGGUUAGGCCUCCCAUUAGCCUUGAAAAGUCAGUAACCUUUGCCUAUCCUUUCUCCAAUGGUAAAUGUGGUAGCAACUAGAAAUUACGAAAUCCCUAACGAGGUGUGUUAUACCGGUGCGUGUUGUAAGGGUUGGGGGGGGGGGGGUGGGGGGGAGCAACGGCUCGACCAACAAUUACCAACAGUAUCUCUAUUUUCUAUGCCCGCUUCAAAUUAGGAGAUUAAUUACUUCCUCUUAUGCUAGAGGCAUCUCGCGUCGCGGGGUCAAAAUACAAGACGCGACACAAGGUGUUCGCUGCUGUCCGUUAUCUGUGUCUUAGGGUUGAUCGAUUGCAAAGCACCUACACACACACACACACACACACACACACACACAUCUGGAGUGGGGAACAAUGCAUGUCACUUUGUAGCGUGUCAGUGUGCAAGAGUGAAUAAAAAAAUCUGCAAGAUUAAAACAAAAUACAA